AGCGAACGCUGGCGGCAGGCUUAACACAUGCAAGUCGAACGGGCGUAGCAAUACGUCAGUGGCAGACGGGUGAGUAACGCGUGGGAACGUACCUUUUGGUCGGAACAACCCAGGGAAACUUGGGCUAAUACCGGAUAAGCCCUUACGGGGAAAGAUUUAUCGCCGAAAGAUCGGCCCGCGUCUGAUUAGCUAGUUGGUGAGGUAACGGCUCACCAAGGCGACGAUCAGUAGCUGGUCUGAGAGGAUGAUCAGCCACAUUGGGACUGAGACACGGCCCAAACUCCUACGGGAGGCAGCAGUGGGGAAUAUUGGACAAUGGGCGCAAGCCUGAUCCAGCCAUGCCGCGUGAGUGAUGAAGGCCCCUAGGGUUGUAAAGCUCUUUCGGCGGGGAAGAUAAUGACGGUACCCGCAGAAGAAGCCCCGGCUAACUUCGUGCC
rnacentral:rRNA from 1 species